UCAAACAGGAGACAGGAGUUGCUCUUUAGUGAGGAGAAAUCUCCUACUGAUACCCAACUAGACCAUCUGCAAUGAUGGAAAAGGGAAUACAGAAAAACUGUGCAACAGUGACGUGGGUGUUGGGGAGUUGGUGUUAGAGAACUCAGUCCACCCACAAUGGUGCUUACAUGCUUUGCUGGACCUGGACCAGAGUGCUCAGCAUAUUCUAGGAGGUGGUCCAGAGGAUGUCAUCUUGAACCUACUAAGACCAAUGCAAAGACUUCCACUGAUUUCACUGGGCUUUGGAUCAGAACCAUGCACAGAUUUUCAUACUUGCAAGCAAAACUGAGAGUCUCUUUGCACACCUGAUUUGCUCACUCUUGUGACAGAAUCUGUUAUACCAAUUUAACUCACCCAAGCAGCACAGCGGCGUCAUGUGAACCAAGCCUGACCCGGAACUUAACAUGGCACACAUUACAUGGAUUCAAAACUGGCUAACUGAUAGUUCUCAAAAUAUAACUGUAAAUGGGAAAGCAACAUGCAGCAGAGCUUUCCAGAUGGCUGCAUGAAAUCAUGGAUGCCCUAUUACCUUGGAUAGAUGUUCACAUGUGAAUUUGGGACACUCUCUCACCCUAGCACAGAAGGACAGCACACAGCCUGGGCACCACGUGAGUCUUAUUUUGAGGGCGUAAGCAGGACUGAAAUACUGCUUUGGGUUGUGCCAGCCCCUCAAUUUCACCCUCCCUGAGCACUGUGACAAACAAAACCGGGAUUGUCGCAAAUUAAAGGGAUCAUCAAAUGA